rnacentral:lncRNA from 1 species
UGUUAAGGGAAGCCAAAAGAAAAACCCAAAAUGCAUACAUGAACAAAAUCCUUCAAAAUAUUUUCUGAAAAAUUCUCCAACACUUAAUAUAAAUCCAAAUAAAGUCCAAAAAUUCAAAUUUAAUUUCCAGAGAUUCCAAUCUUCACAAGUUGAGUCCACAAAUUUUCUUUUUCACACAAAUCGCUCCAACUAAAAAUACAAAUUUUUCUAGGGGCUCAUAGAGGGAUCCCUUAAAUAAAUUUACAGAGAGCUUCCAUUGAGGGAUCCAACACCCCUGUAGGGC